CAGCCGCCGCGGUAACACGGAGGGGGCUAGCGUUGUUCGGAAUUACUGGGCGUAAAGCGCACGUAGGCGGCUUGGUAAGUUAGAGGUGAAAGCCUGGAGCUCAACUCCAGAAUUGCCUUUAAGACUGCCGAGCUAGCAGGUGAGAGAGGUAAGUGGAAUUCCGAGUGUAGAGGUGAAAUUCGUAGAUAUUCGGAAGAACACCAGUGGCGAAGGCGGCUUACUGGCUCAUACUGGACGCUGAGGUGCGAAAGCGUGGGGAGCAAACAGGAUUAGAUACCCCAGUAGUCCCUGUCUCUUAUAC
rnacentral:rRNA from 1 species